GACGAACGCUGGCGGCGUGCCUAAUACAUGCAAGUCGAACGCAGUGGGGACGGGUGAGUAACCCGUGGGUAACCUCCCCUCAGAGGGGAUAACCCGUGGAAACAGGUGCUAAACCGAUACUGAUGGAUGGACCCGCGGUGCAUUAGCUAGUUGGUGAGGUAACGGCUCACCAAGGCCACGAUGAGUAGCCGAACUGAGAGGGUGAUCGGCCACACUGGGACUGAGACACGGCCCAGAAUCCUACGGGAGGCAGCAGUGGGGAAUCUUUGGCAAUGGACGAAAGCCUGACCGAGCAAUGCCGCGUGUGUGAAGAAGGUUUUCGGAUCGUAAAACUCUGUUGUUAGGGAAGCGGUAUCUAACCAGAAAGCAACGGCUAACUACGUGCCAGCAGCCGCGGUAAUAC
rnacentral:rRNA from 1 species